CGUUGUUAUCAUGUACAUUUGAUAUUAUAAUGCGCAGAGUUUCAGAAACGUUGGCUCCCUGAGUGAGUUUGGUUACAGUGACAUUAAACGCUCCAGUAUUUCAGAUUUGCAGCGUGUAAGAAUCAGCUGACAAACUAAAGGUAUUUUUCUCAGGACGAGCUGACGAAGCCGCCGUCGAUGUUUCAGGUUCCCAGCAGACGCUCUUCUCCUGCAGAACGCCUUGUGGAGAGAACCUGGCGGCACGUUCAGCUCCCAGAGUGCACUGCGGUUGUAGUUCCGCUGUUUACGGAACAGACUGAUGUUCGGAGCUUCUACGCGAACGCCGACAGAACAGUUUCGCUCGUUCGGGUCCGGUCUGAAGAGGGCGGGGCUCCGCUAGAAAAAGAGCGAGAGGGAUUUAAACACAGCUGUGGACUUCGACGUCUUCUCUGAUCUCUGGAGGGCAAACGGGAAAUAUUCAAGUCAGCAGAACUACAAGAAGAUCACCAAAACCCAGAAGUCUGAUCUGAAGACUGGUCAGCAGAUAUUAGUUUUCUUAUUGAUUUGAUUUAUUCACCUUUUAAAGUGUUGAAUGUGUAUUGGGGUUUGCACGUGACUCUUGUCCAUAAAAAGAUGUUAAAUAAAAUCUUUAAUGAAGACAGAUCUCUGCAGGUGGAAAAGGACAUAUUAACUGUUUGAUGGAGGCUCAUAAUUAAAAAAAGUACUAUUACAGAGUUGAACUGACAACAUUAGAAGCAAAUCAGUUCUACAUUUCAUUUGGAAACUGAAGAAUUUUACAAACAAAACAUUUGUAUUUGUGAGUCACAGUUACUUCAUUUCCAAAAUAUAUUCUUUAAAAUACAGGAAGUUACUUUGGGCUUCAUUCAGUGAGAUUCAGACAGAGAAAACACUUCCACCGACGUUUCCAAGUGAACAACUUCACUGCAAAAUGAGAGACUGGAGGAAGCCGCCAUCAAAGUGCACUUACAUCCAGAGAGCUCCUGCAGUGACCCUGUGAAAAUCUAUAUUUCAGUGUAGCUGUUUGUAUCACGAAUGUAUUCAACUUCCAACAUUGUUCACACCAAAGAUAAAACAUUUUGCAGUGAAGUUCUUCAGAGUCAAACUCGAGUACUUCUUCAUCUUUAUUACAAUUAUACUUCAUAAAAAGGGUACAGUUGGUACUCUAAAGAUAGCAUGUUAAUAAUUAGUGUUCUACAAGUGCAAAUGAUUAUUCAGGCUAAGACUUAAAGCUUCCAUCAUCCCAUAAUGGCACAUCAGCUCUCACCAGGAAUCACUUCAAGCCAGUGUGUAUAUAUAUGUGUGUGUGUGUAUAUAUUCAGAUAUGUUCAUGGCAGCUAUCUGUAGUCAGCAUCAGGGUGCAGCAGAGGAAACCUGUCAGACUGUUUGUGUAUUUAGUAUUUUAGUUAUUAAUCAGCGUCACAACUAAUUGUACAAACCACACAAGAAAUGCUCAAAAUGAGCCGGAAGAAUAGAAAAAGUGACAGCAAAAGGAUUUUACACAGAAAUAUAAAAAGAACAAAGACAACAGAUCAGAAUAAUCAAACAUGAGAGCAGCGGAUCACAGAGGCCGGAGCUCUCCGAACACAAAAAGGCUGAAUAAGAAGAGACAAACAGUACCUUUGAUUCGUUUAAACUGUGCAGGACUGGCAGAGUGGCGGGUUGUGGCCCCCCCCCGACCUUUAAUGAUGACGAUGAUGAUGAUGGUGAUAACUGCCCCUUCGCACUGACAGACAUCUUCCUUAUGGAGAGAAAUGAGUCUCCUUUCUGGCAAUGUGUGAAUAAAAGUU